CCUGCCCCUAGAGGCAUUGCAGUUGUGGCUGCUGUGCCACAUGUGCUUCAGUAGAGGGCAGAGGAGAGAGGCUAUGUCUACAGUCAGUGUUCUAUCUAUGGAUAUCUGAAUGAUCAGUAGCCUAACUCA